GUGCUCACUUUGGCAGCACAUGUACUAAAAUUGAAAUAAUACAUGAGAAGAUUAGCAUUGCUCCUGUGCAAGGAUGACACAAAAAUUCAUGAAACAUUCCAUAUGUAA
ensembl:snRNA U6 U6 spliceosomal RNA